rnacentral:lncRNA from 1 species
CUAGUCACUGGUGGGCUGAUGGCAGGGCUGGAUGUGUAACCCUCAGACUCAUGGAAGCAUUGUAAAACCUGGCCCUUCCAACACCUGGAAAUCUCUAGAAGCCAGCUUGGCUUAUUUUCUCCAGUACAAACCUUCAACUGGUGGACUACACAGACGAUCCUUCCCACUGUGUUAGAAAGAAAAAACAUCAGCUCUGCCUCAGAUUUCUCAAAUGAUUUUCACAUGUGCAAACCAUGACCUGUUUCCAUGCUUGUAGAUGUUAGGGGGGAGAAAGGGAAGCUUAAAGGAGACCAGGGAGACUAGUGUGUAUUUUCUUCUAAAGAAACUUUUAAAAGUGCAGAGAAACUGGCCUGGGACAAGAUCUAGGAUCUACAUCUUAUACUAACAGGGAUGAUGCAUGUGAGCAGUGCCCAGAAAAAUUCCUGGCCCAUCGUAAUUAGUGUUCAAUUAAGCAAACUAGACUUGCCUAAGGUGUUAUGAUAAUAAUGACACAACAAACAAUGAAUCCUUUUUUGACCAUCUUCCCUGCGUUAAGUAUUUUAGGAAAGGGAACCUCUGCCACUCCAGUGCAGCCUGACAUUCCUGAGAUGCCUCAAGGCACAACUGAACAUAUGGUAUGCACCUGGGUAUGUGGAGCUUGAGGAAGAGCUUCACUCAUCUUUCACCUUCUAUUCUCUGGUGCUGGAUGGGGUCCUCCUUUCUGUUUUUUCUGUUGUUGUUCAUUUAUUUAAUGAUUGGCCCUGAGCUAAUAUCUGUUCCUCGCAGCAGAACAAACAGCACACAGAGCUCCUGUCCUCCCCACCGCUCGCCCCAGGCGCCAGGCU